UGGGGAAUAUUGCACAAUGGGGGAAACCCUGAUGCAGCGACGCCGCGUGAGCGAAGAAGGUUUUCGAAUCGUAAAGCUCUGUCCUAUGAGAAGAUAAUGACGGUAUCAUAGGAGGAAGCCCCGGCUAAAUACGUGCCAGCAGCCGCGGUAAUACGUAUGGGGCGAGCGUUGUCCGGAAUUAUUGGGCGUAAAGGGUACGUAGGCGGUCUAUUAAGUCAGGUGUGAAAGCGUGAGGCUUAACCUCAUUAAGCACUUGAAACUGAUAGACUUGAGUGAAGGAGAGGAAAGUGGAAUUCCGAGUGUAGCGGUGAAAUGCGUAGAUAUUAGGAGGAAUACCGGUGGCGGAGGCGACUUUCUAGACUUUUACUAACGCUCAGGUACGAAAGCGUGGGGAGCAAACAGG
rnacentral:rRNA from 1 species